rnacentral:rRNA from 1 species
UACGUAGGGUGCAAGCGUUGUCCGGAAUUAUUGGGCGUAAAGAGCUCGUAGGCGGUUUGUCGCGUCUGCUGUGAAAUCCCGAGGCUCAACCUCGGGUCUGCAGUGGGUACGGGCAAACUAGAGUGUGGUAGGGGAGAUUGGAAUUCCUGGUGUAGCGGUGGAAUGCGCAGAUAUCAGGAGGAACACCGAUGGCGAAGGCAGAUCUCUGGGCCAUUACUGACGCUGAGGAGCGAAAGCAUGGGGAGCGAACAGG